ACGUAAUGUCUACAACGUUAAUGCAUUGGAUCUCACUGGAACUCAACAAUUAAGAGAGUUUGGGAUAAAGUAGUAUUGGGAUGGGUGACCUCUCGAGAAGUUCGAGUGUUUUACAUG
rfam:Picea glauca, whole genome shotgun sequence.